UGUUUUCUAACUUGAAAACAAUUUUUAGAAAAGAUGGCCAAACACCCCACUGUUGUUCUAAGCAAAUUCAAGACAAUCUACAGAAUCUUGUACCGAAGAGAACUAUGGUUUUAUUUAUUUCAACGAAGAAACACAUGUAAUAACUUCACAAGGAUCCUACAUUUUUCUGCAACCAAAUCUUCAGCCUGAACUAGAAAUAUGUCCCCCCAGAGGAAGGAG
rnacentral:lncRNA from 1 species